CAGUCGCCACGGGAAUACGUAGGGUGCAAGCGUUAAUCGGAAUUACUGGGCGUAAAGCGUGCGCAGGCGGUUAUAUAAGACAGAUGUGAAAUCCCCGGGCUCAACAUGGGAACUGCAUUUGUGACUGUAUAGCUAGAGUACGGCAGAGGGGGAUGGAAUUCCGCGUGUAGCAGUGAAAUGCGUAGAUAUGCGGAGGAACACCGAUGGCGAAGGCAAUCCCCUGGGCCUGUACUGACGCUCAUGCACGAAAGCGUGGGGAGCAAACAGGAUUAGAUACCCGCGUAGUCCCUGUCUCUUAUAC
rnacentral:rRNA from 1 species